rnacentral:rRNA from 1 species
GACGAACGCUGGCGGCGCGCCUAACACAUGCAAGUCGAACGAGCGAGAGGAGGUUUACUUUCUCAAGCGAGUGGCGAACGGGUGAGUAACGCGUGAGGAACCUGCCUCAAAGGGGGGGACAACAGUUGGAAACGACUGCUAAUACCGCAUAAGCCCACGACCCGGCAUCGGGUAGAGGGAAAAGGAGCAAUCCGCUUUGAGAUGGCCUCGCGUCCGAUUAGCUAGUUGGUGAGGUAAUGGCCCACCAAGGCGACGAUCGGUAGCCGGACUGAGAGGUUGAACGGCCACAUUGGGACUGAGACACGGCCCAGACUCCUACGGGAGGCAGCAGUGGGGAAUAUUGCACAAUGGGGGAAACCCUGAUGCAGCGACGCCGCGUGGAGGAAGAAGGUCUUCGGAUUGUAAACUCCUGUUGUUGAGGAAGAUAAUGACGGUACUCAACAAGGAAGUGACGGCUAACUACGUG